CCUACGGGUGGCAGCAGUGGGGAAUAUUGCUCAAUGGGGGUAACCCUGACGCAGCCAAGCCGCGUGAGUGAAGAAUGCCCUAGGGGUUUUAAGCCUCUUUUGUCAGGGAGAAAUUGUCGCUACGUGUAGCGUUAUCGAGAGUACCUGAAGACAGAGCAUCGGCUGACUCCGUGCCAGCAGCCGCGCUAAUACGGAGGAUGCGAGCGUAAUCCGGAUUGAUUGGGUGUACGGGCUGCGUCGGCGGAAUGCAACGUCAGCGGGAAAACCACGGGGCUAAACCUCGCUCUGCCGUUGAUACUGGCGUGCUUGAGUGGGCGAGAGGUAGGCGGAAUGCGUGGUGUAGCGGUGAAAUGCAUAGAUAUCAGGAAGAAUUCCGAUGGCGAAGGCAGCAUAUUGG
rnacentral:rRNA from 1 species